AUUGAACGCUGGCGGCAUGCUUUACACAUGCAAGUCGAACGGCAGCGCGGGCUUCGGCCUGGCGGCGAGCGGCGAACGGGUGAGUAAUACAUCGGAACGUGCCCAGUAGUGGGGGAUAGCUCGGCGAAAGCCGGAUUAAUACCGCAUACGACCUGAGGGUGAAAGCGGGGGAUCUUCGGACCUCGCGCUAUUGGAGCGGCCGAUGGCAGAUUAGCUAGUUGGUGGGGUAAAGGCCUACCAAGGCGACGAUCUGUAGCUGGUCUGAGAGGACGGCCAGCCACACUGGGACUGAGACACGGCCCAGACUCCUACGGGAGGCAGCAGUGGGGAAUUUUGGACAAUGGGCGAAAGCCUGAUCCAGCAAUGCCGCGUGUGUGAUGAAGGCCUUCGGGUUGUAAAGCACUUUUGGCGGGAACGAAAAGGACUGUGCCAAUACCACGGUUCGAUGACGGUACCCGCAGAAUAAGCACCGGCUAACUACGUG
rnacentral:rRNA from 1 species